GGGUGAGUAACGCGUAGGAAUUUGUCCACAGGUGGGGGACAACCGCGGGAAACUGCGGCUAAUACCGCAUGAUGACUGAGGUCUAAAGGCGCGAGUCGCCUGUGGAGGAGCCUGCGUCUGAUUAGCUUGUUGGUGGGGUAACGGCCUACCAAGGCGAUGAUCGGUAGCUGGUCUGAGAGGAUGAUCAGCCACACUGGGACUGAGACACGGCCCAGACUCCUACGGGAGGCAGCAGUGGGGAAUAUUGGACAAUGGGCGCAAGCCUGAUCCAGCAAUGCCGCGUGAGUGAAGAAGGUCUUCGGAUUGUAAAGCUCUUUUGGCGGGGACGAUGAUGACGGUACCCGCAGAAUAAGCCCCGGCUAACUUCGUGCCAGCAGCCGCGGUAAUACGAAGGGGGCUAGCGUUGCUCGGAAUGACUGGGCGUAAAGGGCGCGUAGGCGGAUUGUACAGUCAGACGUGAAAUUCCUGGGCUCAACCUGGGGGCUGCGUUUGAUACGUAUAGUCUUGAGUGA
rnacentral:rRNA from 1 species